UGUGGUCUAGUCUUGGCCUGAUCCCAAAAGGCUGUGUGAGCUUAGACAAGUGGCUUCACCUUUCUGAGCCUUUAUAGUAAACACACCAUCUUUAUAGCCCAAGGGCUAGGAAUGUGUUGUAGCAGUGGAAUCUGCUUUUUUAACGAAAUCUUUUUCAAUAGACUCUAACUCAUAAGAUGCUUAGCUGGGAAGUUACUUGGAUGGAAGGAGGGGCCUGGGGCUGAGGGCCAGGGCCCCUUGGUCCCACUGCCGGGCUCCCUCAGCCCCCUCCUCCUUUCCUCACCCAGUUUGGAAUCCAAUGCCCGGUUUUGGCAUCUGGCCCUGCUCUCAGCCCACUGAGUUGUCCCCUCUCUAAUGAUGAGUGCCCACCCCUCCUCCAGCCCCACCGCUCUCCGAGCAGACCUUCUGGGACCCGUCACCGCAGCCUGGUCCUCUUGGGCCCCAGGAGAGCGAGACAGUGAAGCUCAGCCUAGUGACCUUGCUUGAAGGAUGUUGCUGUGAGGAUAUUUGAAGCCUGAAUAUUCUGGACUGUCAGAAGCCCAUUGGAAGUCGCUGCUCCUCUUCGUUACAAAGUUUCCUUUCCUCUAGUUUAAUGCUCCUUUGCUUCCCCCCUCCCAGCCCCGAUUCAAUCUUGACAGCACUAAACCUGUGCUCCUUGAUUUCUUUUGCAUGUUACGUCUUUUCCCAUUUGUUUGUGUUCAGCCUCCCUAAGUAAUUGUGUUUUAAGCUAUAGAAGAAAUCUGAGAUUUUUUUUUUAUUCAGUCUGAGAGUAAAUAUUUUUAGUAGG
rnacentral:lncRNA from 1 species